UACGAAGGGGGCUAGCGUUGUUCGGAAUCACUGGGCGUAAAGCGCACGUAGGCGGAUUUUUAAGUCAGGGGUGAAAUCCCGAGGCUCAACCUCGGAACUGCCUUUGAUACUGGAGAUCUUGAGUCCGGAAGAGGUAAGUGGAACUGCGAGUGUAGAGGUGAAAUUCGUAGAUAUUCGGAAGAACACCAGUGGCGAAGGCGGCUGACUGGUCCGGUUCUGACGCUGAGGCGCGAAAGCGUGGGGAGCAAACAGG
rnacentral:rRNA from 1 species